ACGGAGGGUGCAAGCGUUGUCCGGAUUUAUUGGGUUUAAAGGGUACGUAGGCGGCCAAUUAAGUCAGUGGUGAAAGCCAACAGCUCAACUGUUGAACUGCCAUUGAUACUGAUUGGCUUGAGUUCUGUUAAGGUAGGCGGAAUUGAUGGUGUAGCGGUGAAAUGCAUAGAUACCAUCAGGAACACCGAUUGCGAAGGCAGCUUACUAGGCAGAAACUGACGCUAAUGUACGAAAGCGUGGGGAUCGAACAGG
rnacentral:rRNA from 1 species